rnacentral:rRNA from 1 species
UUCCGUCGGUGAACCUGCGGAGGAUCAUUA